UUACGACCAAAACACGUUGGAACACCGAUUCUCUUACGAUCACCGAAGUUAAGCAAAUCCGAGCCUGGUCAGUAUCUAGAUGGGUGACCGCUUAGGAAUACUAGGUUCUGUAAG